GGUUUAUGUAUGUGUGUGUGUGUGUGUACAUUUGUGCGUGUGUUAUGUGUCUACGUGUUAACCGGGAAGAAUACCUGCACACCUUCCGUCUACACGUCUACACAGAGAUGUCUUCGUCCCGCUCUUCGUCGUCCCUCCACGCCCAUCUGUCGCUUCCGUCUACCUGUCGCGCGUAAUUGGAGGUCGCUUCGCUCACCUGACACUCUCGCACCCAACAGGGGCUACAGGUAGAGGGGAGCGCAAAUUGGAGCGUAUACCUGAGGAGAAAGACCGAUUUGGCGGCGAACAGUGAUGCCAGAACAGAGCACAGACCCCUCCAAGCCAUCCCCGUCCUCUGAUUGGUCACCCGCACACCCGCCGAUGACGUAGGCCGUGACGUGGCAGGCUGUGAUUGGAAGGAGAAGUCUUGGGCAGCGCCGCUCCACCAGGAUGUCAGUCGUGCACGCUGAGGCCACCGCAGCAAACAGCCAGACGAGUUCUUGUUUUCUUGAGGGCGUAGAAUAAAGUGUGAUAACAGGGUCAUAGUGGGCAAAGAAAGCAGAGUCAGGUACCUUAAUGGUUACCAUCUCACUUGCUUGGUAGUAGUCUGACAGUAAUCUAUUUGGGUCUUUUAUUAUUUCAGUGUUUGGGGCUUUUAAAAGAUAUUCAUGUCAGAUUCUGUGGAGUUUCUUAUUUCUAGUAACCGUUUAAAAUGAUGCUUGUAGUGUAAAUCCUUGCCCUUAAAAGCACAUAUAUUUGCUAAUUUAAUCCCUUUAAUUCUUGCUUUUUGUCACUUGCUUAUUUUUACGGUACAUUCAUUGCAGGAGAGACCAGGGCUUAUUGAUCUUGAUCGUGGAAGAUGGUAGCUGAAAUGUAGUAACUUUUAAAUAAGUAUAUCAGGCUAUGCAAUCAUUAACAUUAUCACGACUAAAUAGUUCAGUACAACAGCUCUCCAAAUGGCAUGUUUUUUUUCCCCUUUAUAUAUUAAGACCUACAGUAUACUAACUUUAUUCAAUUCACUGACCCCACUCUAGUCUCAUUACCCCUUACAGUUAGUUCUCAUCACACCACCCAAUCAUUCUUUCCUUUACCUCCUCACACCCAUGACUUCACAGUAUUUUUCAUAACAUCAGAGAGGCACUUCCUUCCUGAACCAUUCCUCACCGAAGCCUUGCAUGCCCCGGACCUGUUCUCGACCGUAUUCCUCAGCACGCUCUUAAGGGGGUGGUUGCAGCAGAUUAUUUAAGUUCUUCCCCUUUUGGAAUAUCUUUUCUUGUACCUUCAGACUACUUGUUCCAAACCCUCUUACAUUUUAUUGUUAAUCCUCUACCACAUUUAUAUUUUAUGGGUCAUUUUUUUUCUUACAGUUCAUAGAUCGUUCUUGUCCAUCCAUAGAUUUUAUAGGUUAAGCUUUUCCAUUUGUAGAGUCGGCAAGAAUGCAUCAAACAUCCAUUUGUCGAUUGAGUUUGAGUGUAAACUAUAGACAUGGUGUUGUGUUGGUUAGGUGGGUACAAUGGCUAUAUGUAUAAUCUCUACUCAUGGGUGUUCGAUACUUUUUUGCCGACAAUGGGUUAUGCGUUAUUUUCUAUUACAUAACGUUAAUUGCAAGGAGUGAACAGGAUUAAUUGAAAUUGAUUCACAAGCCUGAAAGGGAACUGA